UACGUAGGGACCGAGCGUUGUCCGGAAUUAUUGGGCGUAAAGAGCUCGUAGGCGGCCUGUUGCGUCUGCUGUGAAAUCCCGGGGCUUAACCCCGGGCGUGCAGUGGAUACGGGCAGGCUGGAGGCAGGCAGGGGAGAAUGGAAUUCCCGGUGUAGCGGUGAAAUGCGCAGAUAUCGGGAGGAACACCGGUGGCGAAGGCGGUUCUCUGGGCCUGUUCUGACGCUGAGGAGCGAAAGCGUGGGGAGCGAACAGG
rnacentral:rRNA from 1 species